UCCCUCAGUAAUGGCGAAUGAACAGGGAUAAGCUCAGCAUGGAAAUCGGUGUCUCUGGCAUUGAAUUGUAGUCUCGAGUUGUACUGCCAACGGAGGCGCAGAUGUAAGCCUCUUGGAAAAGAGCAUCAACGAGGGUGAGAGUCCCGUUUGUCAUCUGCAGUCCCCCGUGCACGGUGUACUUCUAAAGAGUCACGUUCCUCGGAAAUGGAGCGCAAAGUGGGUGGUAAAUUUCAUCUAAAGCUAAAUAUAGGUUCGAGACCGAUAGCAAACAAGUACCAUGAGGGAAAGGUGAAAAGGACUUUGAAAAGAGAGUUAAAAGUGCCUGAAAUUGCUGAAAGGGAAGCGAAUGGAACCAGUGCUUCUUGGCAAGAUUGGUGCGUGCUAAUGUGAUUGCCUGCUGCUUCAGCGCAAGCGUGGUAGUGGGUUUUGAUCAGGACGUGCGUGUUGUUUCUUGCCUUGUGUGUCAACGUCAGUUCUCGAUCGAGGAAAACGCCAGGGACAUGGUAGCUCGUCUUCGGGUGAGUGAAUGUGCUUGGUUGAACUCAUUUGUGAACUGGUUCUUGCGUGUCUGGUUGCAGUGCAUUGUGUCUUCACACCCCUGGGGUGGGUUUCGAUCUUCCGCAGGUGGGGUGGGCGACCGGUGCAUCUCCCUGACACAUCGACGCUGACUAAAUGGUUCUAUUCGACCCGUCUUG
rnacentral:rRNA from 1 species